ACAAGAAACCAACAGGGAUUGCCCCAGUAACGGCGAGCGAAGCGGCAACAGCCCAGAUUUGAAAUCCGAUUCUCCCAUAUGGGAAUCUGAGUUGUAAUCUGUAGAGGAUGUCGUUGGUCGACAGUUUUCCUGAAGUCCCCUGGAAUGGGGUGCCAUAGAGGGUGAGAGCCCCGUGCAGGACGACUGGACGGUCAAUAUGCGACUCCUUCGGCGAGUCGAGUAGUUUGGGAAUGCUGCUCUAAAUGGGAGGUAAAUUCCUUCUAAGGCUAAAUAUCGGCCGGAGACCGAUAGCGCACAAGUAGAGUGAUCGAAAGAUGAAAAGUACUUUGAAAAGAGGGUUAAACAGUACGUGAAAUUGUUGAAAGGGAAGCGUCCGCGACCAGACUUGUAUUCGAAGGAUCGUCCAGCGCUCGUCGCUGGGCCUCUCUUUCGUUAUAUCAGGCCAGCAUCGAUUUGCGCCGGGGGAGAAGCACACUGGGAACGUAGCUUGCUUUUCGGAGAAAGUGUUAUAGCCCAAUGUAUGAUACCCUGGCGUGGAUCGAGGCCCGCGCAUUUGCAUGGAUGCUGGCAUAAUGGUCGUUGGCGACCCGUCUUGAAACACGGACCAAGGAGUCGAGGUUUUCCGCGAGUGUGCGGGUGACAAACCCGCCCGCGAAAUGAAAGUGAACGUAGGUGAGAGCUAUUACUGGCGCACCACCGACCGAUCCCAAUGUUUUCGGCGGGAAUCGAGUACGAGCGGAAAGCCUCGGACCCGAAAGAUGACGAACUAUGCCUGCAUAGAAUGAAGCCAGAGGAAACUCUGGUGGAGGUUCGCAGCGGUUCUGACGUGCAAAUCGAUCGUCAAAUGUGGGCAUGGGGGCGAAAGACUAAUCGAGUCAUCUAGUAGCUGG
rnacentral:rRNA from 1 species